AUCAGUAGGGUGACACUUAGGUAUGGGUGGUAUACUCCUCUUUCCUUCACAAUCAUCAAAAGAAGAAACAAGCACUCGACGAGAAACUCGUGGCUUGCUUAACCGUGAAACAGUCUUGGAAAAUUUAAAAGUCUUACAGAUGAAAUCAGGAGGUGUAGGUGGAGGAGAUGAGUACCUUAGCCGUUUAGGAGGUGGAUUGAGUAGUAGAGGUGCA
rnacentral:sRNA from 1 species